GUGCUCACUUUGGCAGCACACGUACUAAAACCAGAAGGAUACAGAGAAGAUUAAUGAGCACGGCUUCCAGAGCAAGGAUAACUUGUAAAUUCGGGAAGUGUUCCAUAUUUUU